rnacentral:lncRNA from 1 species
CAGGCAACUCACAGAACUGCCAAAUCCUGUUAGUGAUAAGAAAAAGCAUUCAGUGAUGAAAGAAUAGUUAGCAGUUCCACUCAGCUCGCUCUAGCUCAGCUCCACGCUACUCUCUGCAGCAGCUUCACAUUGGCUCCAUGGCCGUCGACAAGCCUUCCGGUUCCCCCAAGCAACUGCAGUGAGGCUUUGAAAUAAAGGGGAAAACAGAGAGACAACAUCCAGUGCUGGUGGCAGACAGCAACUUUACCUCUUCGUUCUUCACAAAGACUGAAGCCACUUUUCAGGACCCCGAAGAGCUAGGAUUAGAAUUACAGGUGUCUGCUCUUUCCCCAAUCUGUGGCAUGCUGGGGGGCAAAACAGCACCUCGUGCUGCCAGAGAAGCAGCCAGCCUAGUGCUGAGCUUCGUCCUCAGCUCCUACACAAGGUCUUCAAAGGCCACCGCAGAACAGAACAGAGGGCAGCAGAGACGGGCCUGGAAGAGAGCCCUGAAAGAAAGUCCCCACCAGAGGGGGCUUUUGCCUAUGUGUGUGCCUGUGCUCUUCCUGGAUGCCUGGUAUCUGAGGAGUCUAGAAGAGUGCAUCAGUUUCCCUGGAACUGAAGCUACAGACGGUUGUGAACCUCCAUAGUGGGAGCUGGACCUAUAUUGGACUGCAAAAUGGAAGCCAUGUGUUAAAAGUGAGAGCAUAGUCAAACAUCGUUGAGUUGGUGCCACCUGUCUCAACACAUAUCUAAAGUAAUACCAGACCUGAACAUUUAACAGAAAAGUGCUCUGACUUCCUGGCCUAAAAACAAAUGUGCUUUUUGCAAGGUAUGUAUAUUUCAGUCAAUCAAGCUUGCUUUCGUCUAUGGGCACAAGAACCCAAUUCUACUUGAGUAAUAGAGUGUGAACCCUAAAUCCAUGUGUGAUGUGACAGGGCAGGGAGGGCACAGCAGAGUCUUCUCACAUUUGAGAUCAUAUAUACUGGGCCACUUAGUUCCCAUUCUUCCUGCUUUAGCCGCCACCACCUCCUCCAGACACCAUGUAUCUGGAGCUCAAGCCACACAUGCCUCUGAUAAUAAUGCAAAUGAAUUUGGUGGUUGUUAUUUGUUCAGGUCUUAGCACACAGAUAAACCAUGGAGCAGUAGCGUUUGAAAAGCUACCUUGCGACGAUUAACCUAGUUUCUGUGGGUGAGGUGAGGGAUCUGGGUGUCUGUCCAAAAGCACUAUUCAGCAUGCUGUGCUCAAGUGCUGAACCUUUUUUUUUUUCUUUUUACCUAAGUGGCUAUUAGAAUACCAGGUCCUCCAGCCAAUAGCAACUUACCAGAAAUCUUCAAUUUGGGGGCUGGGUGUUAAGAAUACAAAAUAAAUAUAUUUGCUUUCCUAGUUGAGGUUGCUCAUUGACUAGUUUUGGGUGGAACCUUUCUGGGUCACAAGGGACCUUCUUUGUAAGCUUCAAUGAGAGUGCCUUAACUUAAAGAUGGAAUGAUCUCAAGUUCUCCCAUUAGUAACUAAGGUCUAGUAAUGUUUUCGUGCCAACUCAUUAGAAUUACAAAUUGAAUGCCAAAUACAGUUCAUGGCUUAGAGAAUUCUCUCAGAAAUUCUUUGAUCCCAGGAAAAGGCACUUGGUAUUGUUUCAUUUCCUCUGUUUAAGGAGAAAUCUGCAAAGUUGCAAAGUGUCAGGAUUUGAAGCUCCAUGUGAAGCCAAAGCUCAUUUUGUUUCCAGAACUGAGUUGGUCCAGAGGCUGGAAAAGUCAAUAUAGUAUUCCAGCCCAGUCAGCGUCUUCAAUGGGUAGCAUUGUUAUUUGCUGUAAACAGCUGUAAAUUUCCAGAACCACAGGCACACCCAUAUUAAAAUGUUAAUUGCCAAAGUGUCUCAUAAUCCCAACUGCAAAUGAACAGUGAAUUAAAUGCCCCGUGGGACCCUGUCUCUGGAUUUCCUCCACUUGCACACAUCAUUGGACACUCUCAAGAUCUGACUCUUCUUAAAAGACAUUCAGUCCAUCAUCCUGCAAAACUUCUAGAUUGUGGAGAUAACACAGCUCAGCUUUAUGCUGCUUUGAAAAAUGCCAAGCCUAGUCUUCUGAAAGAGAAACUGAGACUUCAAAAACAGGCUUUCUUGGACACACAAAUUUUGCCGAAAACUCACAGAGAUGGGAAACUAGUUCCUGCUUACUCUUUCUAAAAGUUCCCGAAAUUCGAGUGCCCUGCCAAAAUAGCAGACCUUAAGAGUCCACAAACCUUUUACUGGGAUUAUGAAAGAGGCUCAUUUGUUUUCAAGCUAUGGUCCCUCCACCCAAGUAGUUCCACCCCCAUGCCAGUGUCUGCGGCUUUGAUUGCUAACCAUCCGCUCACAUAAACUCUAACAUGGACUGGGAUCCUUCAAAAAGACUAAGGUGUAAAGCAGGGGAAAGCUUUUAAGAAUUAGUGUGUUAGAAAUGGAGGGCUGAGUCCAGAGAGAGGAAAGGCAAUUAAAAGAAAUCACGUGCUUGGCCUAAGGGAAAGGGAAUGUGGGUACAGAAGAACUCCCCCUCCCCUAAGAACACAGAAUUUGUGUGCAUCAAGACAGCUUUCAGUACUGUGUGUAGCUUACCUCAGAGAGCUCAUUGCUAAAGCUAGGGUAGGAUGGCUGGUGUAUGUAUGAACUCACUCCCGCUUUGUCUAGAUUCCUUUUAUAUGCUUGCACAGCCUGAUCACAGUUUUCCCAGAUGUAAGGCUUGGGAUAAAUAAUAGCAGCUGCAGUAUUCUGCCAGAAAAGAACUUGCCUCCCCAGCUUAAGCGGAUGGAUGACAAAUGCAAAAGGCUCCCAAGAAGAGAAAAUGUCAGAACUUGUGUGCCAGCCUUCCAAAACCAUGAGGUGUGGCUAAACCAUGAGCCAUAAUUACCAUUACAUCAGGGUCCGUCAGACAAGGGGGCUUCCUUGGAAUCAAGAUACUUAAAAAAAUUGCUGGGCUUAGUGCCUCAAUGAAGUGCUGAGAUUCUCACACUUUCCCAAAUUGCUUUCACUCAAAAUAUUCCUUUGCAAUGUUUCUGAUAGCUGUGGCCACUGGCUUUAAAAAAAGACAACUUCGGGUUAGAAGUCUGACUCUGCCACUUAGCAGAGCCACUAGAAAUUUUGUAUAGAAAAUGGGGACCAUACUCUGUAUACUAGUCAUAGCUGUGAAAGUGAAGUUAAACAUAUAAAAAAAAUUCAGUACAAUGUCCUAACAUUAACAGAUGCUCAAUUAAAGGUUAACCAGUUCACAAGAAAACUCACUUGGGUUAGCGUGAAUCCAAAGACAACAGAAGGGAAGCUAAGGUAAUAGUUACAUGUCUAACAUGUGACACACAGGAAAAAUGGGCAUAGGGAUGCUAGGCGUGGUCAAAGACUGAGCUCACACAGGUUGUAAGUAGCUAAUCCUCUCCUGAGUUACAUGGAUUCCUGGGGGACCCAAGAGGUAGUAGUGUUAAGUACGAAAGUCCUUGACGGUUAGCGAAGGAAAAGAACUACAGAGAACAUGUCUUUUGGGCUGUUCUACAAGAAAUAAAUUCUAGCUGCAGAGUUUAGUGGUGCUGGACCUGCGUGACCAAGGGUUGGUUUGUAAAUCAGGACUCACGUGGUCUCCUGUAAAUGGUGCUGCUUUUGCACCUACACAUGCUAACAAAUCCUGCUCAUAGCUUUUCAGAUGUUACCUACUCCAAAAGUCUUUGACUUGCAAAACAGAAAGUCAAUUAUUAUUGUUUUGAGAUAGGCUCUCACUGUGUAGUCUAGGCUGGCCUGGACUUUGCUGUGUAGAACCAGCAAGGCUUCAAACUUGUGAUCCUCCUGUGUCUGUUCCCUGGUGCCAGAUCACAGACAUGCUGUUAACGCACCGGCUCCAUCUCAUGCCGUUCUUUGUCUUCUGUUUUCUAACAUCUACCACACAGUCAAUUUUAACAUUCAAAGACAAGAUUAGUUGUUGAGCAUGUGCAAUUAAAGGCACUGUGACAGAUGCAAAUGAAAUCAACAUGCUCCCAGACUGCAGAAAUGGUACAAAUUAUCUCAGUAAUAAAGAACCACCUUGUGACAUGGCUCAGCAGGUAAAAGCACCUUGCCUUGCAAACCUGGUGACCUGAGUUUGAUCCCCAGAAUUCACAUCAAGAUAGGAGAGAACAGAUUCCACAAAGUUGUCCUCUGACCCCACCUCCCCCCCAACACACACACCUUAAUAAAGGUGGUACUAGAGAGUAAGAAUUAUAUCUAGAAUUUAUUCUUUACUGUUCUCAUUCUCUCAACUAGCAGGAUUCUUUAUCUUCAGUCCUAUGACAGCCAGAGAUGCACAGGAAAACCCUGUCUCGAAAACCCAAAAACAAAACAAAACAAAAAAUUAGUAUUAGACUCCUACUAUGUGUCAGGCAUCCACCUUACAGCUCGUUUAAUUCUUAGACAAUUCUAACCUGGCACUUCAUUUUACAGAAACUGAAACCUAUAGAGAUUGAGGAGCAUAGCACAAGGGGGGUCUCUGGAUGCAAUGAAAAUUUAAAACAAGUCACACUAGAAUGGCAAACAAAUUCACGUAUCUUUUAGCUAAACCUUAGUAAGAAUAAACUAUAUUUUUGUAAAUAGAAAAUAAAACACUAGAGGGCACUAAACAGAAACUGAGACAACUGGUUUGCCAACGCAGUUCUCACAGUGGUACAAGAUAAUCAGCCAUGGAUCCAAGUCAAAAAAGGCUCUCCCCAAAAGGAGCAUG